UGUGGUGGCGUAAUAAACCAUUUGGUCAGAAUAAUCUAUACUACACUUUCUUUCAUUAUAUUCAACAACAGCUAGUGGUUUCAAUGUUGCGAACAAAUGAAACGAAAGAUCAUUCUUGAGACCACCACUUGAGCGAUUCGCAUUACUAAAAUAUCGAUGGGAGCACCUAGCAGAGAACGCUUGGUACUGCUGUACGCGUGGCCUAACGGAGAGUUCUUUGAAAACACGCGUGGCAGUCAACGUGUUAAAUGACAGGGCAAACGUCGCACGUG